rnacentral:rRNA from 1 species
CCUACGGGGGGCUGCAGUGAGGAUUAUUGGUCAAUGGACGAGAGUCUGAACCAGCCAAGUAGCGUGAAGGAUGACUGCCCUAUGGGUUGUAAACUUCUUUUAUAUGGGAAUAAAAUGUUCCACGUGUGGGAUUUUGUAUGUACCAUAUGAAUAAGGAUCGGCUAACUCCGUGCCAGCAGCCGCGGUAAUACGGAGGAUCCGAGCGUUAACCGGAUUUAUUGGGUUUAAAGGGAGCGUAGGUGGAUUGGUAAGUCAGUUGUGAAAGUUUGCGGCUCAACCGUAAAAUUGCAGUUGAAACUGGCAGUCUUGAGUACAGUAGAGGUGGGCGGAAUUCGUGGUGUAGCGGUGAAAUGCUUAGAUAUCACGAAGAACUCCGAUUGCGAAGGCAGUUCACUGGACUGCAAUUGACACUGAGGCUCGAAAGUGUGGGUAUCAAACAGGAUUAGAUACCCUAGUAGUC